rnacentral:rRNA from 1 species
UAACUACGUGCCAGCAGCCGCGGUAAUAACGUAAGUGCAAGCGUUAUCCGGAAUUAUUGGGCGUAAAGCGCCGCCCAGUGGUUUUCUUAAAGUCUGAUGUGAAAGCCCACGGCUCAACCCGUGGAGGGUCAUUGGAAACUGGGAGACUUGAGUGCAGAAGAGGAAAGUGGAAUUCCAUGUGUAGCGGUGAAAUGCGUAGAGAUAUGGAGGAACACCAGUGGCGAAGGCGACUUUCUGUUCUGUAACUGACAUUGAGGCGCGAAAGCGUGGGGAGCAAACAGGAUUAGAUACCUUGGUAGUCCACGCCGUAAACGAUGAGUGUUAAGUGUUAGAGGGUUUCCGCCCUUUAGUGCUGAAGUUAACCCAUUAACCAUUCCCCCUGGGGAGUACGGCCGCAAGGCUGAAAUUCAAAGGAAUUGACGGGGGCCCGCCCAAGCGGUGGACCAUGUGGUUUAAUUGGAAGCAACGGGAAGACCCUUACCAGGUCUUGACAUCUUCUGACAACCCUAGAGAUAGGGCUUUUCCUUCGGGACCAGAGUGCCAGGUGGUGCAUGGUUGUCGUCAGCUCGUGUCGUGAGAUGUUGGGUUAAGUCCCGCAACGAGCGCAACCCUUGUUUUUAGUUGCCAUCAUUAAGUUGGCCAUUUUAAGGUGACUGCCGGUGACAAACCGGAGGAAGGUGGGGAGGACGUCAAAUCAUCAUCCCCCUUAUGCCCUGGGUUACACACGUGUUCCAAUGGACGGUACAAAGAGCUGCAAGACCGGGAGGUGGAGCUAAUUUCAUAAAACCGUUUUCAGUUCGGAUUGUAGGCUGCAAUUCGCCUCCAUGAAGCUGGAAUCGUUAGUAAUCGCGGAUCACCAUGCCGCGGUGAAUACGUUCCCGGCCCUUGUCCACACCGCCCGUCCCACCACGAGAGUUUGUACCACCCGAAGUCGGUGGGGUACCCUUUUGGAGCCAGCCGCCUAA